rnacentral:rRNA from 1 species
CUACGGGGCGCAGCAGUGGGGAAUAUUGGACAAUGGGGGCAACCCUGAUCCAGCCAUGCCGCGUGUGUGAAGAAGGCCUUAGGGUUGUAAAGCACUUUCAGUGGUGAGGAAGGCUGAGUAGUUAAUACCUGCUUAGUUUGACGUUAGCCACAGAAGAAGCACCGGCUAACUCUGUGCCAGCAGCCGCGGUAAUACAGAGGGUGCGAGCGUUAAUCGGAAUUACUGGGCGUAAAGCGCGCGUAGGUGGUUUGUUAAGUCGGAUGUGAAAUCCCCGGGCUCAACCUGGGAACUGCACCCGAUACUGGCAGGCUAGAGUACGAUAGAGGGGUGUGGAAUUUCCUGUGUAGCGGUGAAAUACGUAGAUAUAGGAAGGAACAUCAGUGGCGAAGGCGACACCCUGGAUUGAUACUGACACUGAGGUGCGAAAGCGUGGGGAGCAAACAGGAUUAGAUACCCUUGUAGUC